GGGGAUUUUCCAAGGGAAAAUUUGUGAUUUUCGGGUUAAAUGGGGGACUUUCCAAGGGAAAAGGCAUGAUUUUCUGGUUAAAUGGGGGAUUUUGGAAGAGCAAAUGUGUGAGUUUUGGUUAAAUGGGGGGUUUUCCAGAGAAAAUGCAUGACUUUCUGUUCAAUGGAGGAUUUUUGUGGUGAAAAUGCGUGGUGUUCAGGUUAAAGCAGGGAUUUUCGAUGAGAAAAUACAUGAUUUGGGGGUUAAAUGUGUUUGUUUGUUUGUUUGUUUUAAGAGAAAACUUGUGAUUUUUGAUGAAUUAUGUAUUUUUGAAGUGAAAAUGCGUGGUUUUCAGGUUAGAUCAGGGAUUCUUGAAGAGAAAAUGCAUCAUUGUCGGGUUACAUGGGGGAUUUCCAAAGAGAAAUCGCCUUUUUUUUUUUUUUUUUCUGGUUAAAUG
ensembl:lncRNA